rnacentral:rRNA from 1 species
UGGGGAAUAUUGGACAAUGGGGGAAACCCUGAUCCAGCCAUGCCGCGUGAAUGAUGAAGGCCUUCGGGUUGUAAAGUUCUUUUGGCGGGGACGAUGAUGACGGUACCCGCAGAAUAAGCUCCGGCUAACUUCGUGCCAGCAGCCGCGGUAAUACGAAGGGAGCUAGCGUUGUUCGGAAUUACUGGGCGUAAAGGGCGCGUAGGCGGUCAAGCAAGUCAGAUGUGAAAGCCCUGGGCUCAACCCGGGAACUGCGUUUGAUACUGUUUGGCUUGAAUUCGGUAGAGGUGAGUGGAAUUCCCAGUGUAGAGGUGAAAUUCGUAGAGAUUGGGAAGAACACCAGUGGCGAAGGCGGCUCACUGGACCGACAUUGACGCUGAGGCGCGAAAGCGUGGGGAGCAAACA